UGACACUACACAAUGCAGACUCCAUGUGUUUCUUGUGAUGUGAACGAUUGCAACGAAUAAGGUAUCUGCCACGUUUCCUGUUUGUAACCGAAAACGUCGAAAGACGAUAAAAAUAGCAGCAACACUUGUGCACUUCUUGCUGAACAUGGUCACGUACAGGUGAAAGGUUUUAUCAGACAAGGAUUUAUUGGACAUUUGACACUAUUAAAUCAUGGGGACAGGUCCAGCCAGGGGACGUGUCCUAUGCCUCUCUUGAUCUGACUGCCAAUAAAAAGCGUAGGAAGAAGAGAAAAUACCAAAAACAGGCUCAGACUCACCAGGCCCAGACACAUCCUCAACCUGCAUCCCAGCAGAUCUGCAUGGACCAGGAUGACGAGCCUGAUGUCACCCUCCCGUCCCGGAGCAGCAGCCUCCUGAUUUCACGUCACAGCAUCUACCUCAACAGUCAUCAAGUAGCCCUGGAGGCAGAAGAGAGGGAGAGGGAGAGGGAGAGAGAGAGGGAGAGAGAGAUGGAAAUUGAAAGAGAAAGAGAAAGAGAUGAUAAUGUAGAGAGAGAGUUUGAUAUGCACAGAAAUGUGCAUGAAGGCUUUGAUCACUCCCUCGGUAGAUCAAGACAAAGUCUAAAACUGGACAGUUAACAGUUAGAAAGUAAAAAAAAAACAACAACAAAAAAAACUUUAGCGUCUUACUUGUAAAAACACAGGAUACUGUAGGGUGGGGCUGUCAGCGACUGUGAUAUUUUAAGCUCAUCUCUACCCCAAAUCAUAAUUUCUGUGCAUUCAAAAGCAUGCAGAGGAGACCAGCUAUCUGAUCUUGUGUCCAAUCGAGACACAUAUAAAGGAGUUCACCACUUUAAAUCUGCUUUCUUGUUUCUUGCAUUUGAAGGUUGGUCUGUUUGUUGUACUUAUAAGAAGAAUAUAUUAACAAAUAUUUAUCUGCUUACUUUUAUGUUUUUUUUUUUUUAGAUUUUCAGGAUAACAGGCUAUAAAUGCAUAUUUGUGCAAAUAAGGUUGACUCAAGUCAUUUGAUGUAGAUACAGUAUGCACAGAAUAAUAAGGACAGUUUCAUAGCUAUUAUUCAGAGUUGUUGUAAUAUUUUUGUGGCUUUGUCUUGAUAUUAAAUGUCUUGGUGACUCUAUUUUUGUAUCUGUAAUUCUUUGUUUAAAA
ensembl:lncRNA